GAUCACGUUUAAGGCCAUCGUUGA
rnacentral:siRNA from 1 species